GACGAACGCUGGCGGCGUGCUUAACACAUGCAAGUCGAACGGAAAGGCCCUUCGGGGUACUCGAGUGGCGAACGGGUGAGUAACACGUGGGUGAUCUGCCCUGCACUUUGGGAUAAGCCUGGGAAACUGGGUCUAAUACCGAAUAGGACCACGCGCUUCAUGGUGUGUGGCGGAAAGCUUUUGCGGUGUGGGAUGGGCCCGCGGCCUAUCAGCUUGUUGGUGGGGUAAUGGCCUACCAAGGCGACGACGGGUAGCCGGCCUGAGAGGGUGACCGGCCACACUGGGACUGAGAUACGGCCCAGACUCCUACGGGAGGCAGCAGUGGGGAAUAUUGCACAAUGGGCGCAAGCCUGAUGCAGCGACGCCGCGUGAGGGAUGACGGCCUUCGGGUUGUAAACCUCUUUCAAUAGGGACGAAGCGCAAGUGACGGUACCUAUAGAAGAAGCACCGGCCAACUACGUGCCAGCAGCCGCGGUAAUACGUAGGGUGCGAGCGUUGUCCGGAAUUACUGGGCGUAAAGAGCUCGUAGGUGGUUUGUCGCGUUGUUCGUGAAAACUCACAGCUUAACUGUGGGCGUGCGGGCGAUACGGGCAGACUAGAGUACUGCAGGGGAGACUGGAAUUCCUGGUGUAGCGGUGGAAUGCGCAGGUAUCAGGAGGAACACCGGUGGCGAAGGCGGGUCUCUGGGCAGUAACUGACGCUGAGGAGCGAAAGCGUGGGGAGCGAACAGGAUUAGAUACCCUGGUAGUCCACGCCGUAAACGGUGGGUACUAGGUGUGGGUUCCUUCCUUGGGAUCCGUGCCGUAGCUAACGCAUUAAGUACCCCGCCUGGGGAGUACGGCCGCAAGGCUAAAACUCAAAGGAAUUGACGGGGGCCCGCACAAGCGGCGGAGCAUGUGGAUUAAUUCGAUGCAACGCGAAGAACCUUACCUGGGUUUGACAUGCACAGGACGCCGGCAGAGAUGUCGGUUCCCUUGUGGCCUGUGUGCAGGUGGUGCAUGGCUGUCGUCAGCUCGUGUCGUGAGAUGUUGGGUUAAGUCCCGCAACGAGCGCAACCCUUGUCCUAUGUUGCCAGCGGGUUAUGCCGGGGACUCGUAGGAGACUGCCGGGGUCAACUCGGAGGAAGGUGGGGAUGACGUCAAGUCAUCAUGCCCCUUAUGUCCAGGGCUUCACACAUGCUACAAUGGCCGGUACAAAGGGCUGCGAUGCCGUGAGGUGGAGCGAAUCCUUUCAAAGCCGGUCUCAGUUCGGAUCGGGGUCUGCAACUCGACCCCGUGAAGUCGGAGUCGCUAGUAAUCGCAGAUCAGCAACGCUGCGGUGAAUACGUUCCCGGGCCU
rnacentral:rRNA from 1 species